CGUCGUACGAUCUUCUGGUGGUCCAUGCCCGGUGUCAAUGACACCAACUCCUAAAGGGAUGUCAAUGGAUAUCAAAGUAUGCUGCUAGGUUGAGCGAGUUGGCCACUCGGCCGAAACUUCGCUGUUCCUCUAUACCGCCUGCUCGACCGGAACUCCACUAUGUCUGUGUUACGUCCGUUCGGUCGUAACUCCUCUGUGCUUGUGUCACGUCCGCUCUGUCGUAACUCCUCUGUGUUUAUGUCACGCCCGCUCGGCCGAAGUUCCGCUCUGCCAGUGUCGAGUCCUGCUGCCUGCUCGAGCGGGGUAGCCGCUCGGCCCAGCUUCUGCACAUCAUCACCUCCGUCUGGCGUCCAAUACUCCAUUGAGCGUCGGUCAUUUGACACCUCCCCAUGUCGAAGACGGGAUCGGAUCGGGACCUUCUCCCCCCGGUCGGGCAUACUCGCUCGACCGGCCGAUGCUAUCUGAGCAUUGACCACCUUGACUUUGACCUCUACCAUGGUCGCUAGAACACCUUGUUCAUCAAACUCUGGUAAAUGGCUCCGGCAUUCUUGAGUCCGAACGGCAUGACGUUGUAGCAGUACGUUUCGUCAACCAUAAUGAAGUUGAUCUUCUGCUAGUCUUUUCGAGCGAGCGGCACUUGGUGAUACCCUUGGUAUGCAUCGAGCAUGCAGAUCAACUCGCAACCUGCCAUCGAGUCCACCAUCUGGUCUAUCCUGGGCAACGGAUAGAAGUCUUUCGGGCACGCCUUGUUCAAAUCGCGGAAGUCGAUGCAGACCCGCCAUUUAUUGCCCGGCUUGGAGACUAACACAAUAUUAGUUAGCCAGCUCGAGAAUUGAACUUCCCUAAUAUAGUCGGCCUCUAACAACUUCUCUAUCUCCGCCCGGAUGAUCAGAUUUUGCUCCGCGCUGAAGUCCCUCUUUCUUUGCUUCACCGGUCGAGCGUCUGAUCGGAUAUGAAGCUCAUGCUGAGCCACACUGAGGGAGAUACAGGGAAGUUCAUGUGUCGACCAGGCGAACACAUCAUGAUUUUGUCUAAGGCAUGCGACCAACUCUACCUUCUUCUCUGCCCCUAGGUCGGCGGCUAUAAAAGUGGUUGCUUCUGUUCGGCUGGGGUGGAUCUGAACCUCCUCCUUUUCUUCGUACACCAAUGUGGGAGGCACUUCAGUGAUUGCGUUCACCUCCAAGCACGGAUUCUUCCGAGCGCUUCUUGCUUCGGACUUGACCAUCUCGACGUAGCAUCGCCAAGCGGCAAGCUAAUCUUUUGGCUUCUUUGAGGGUCUUUGACUUCGCCCACCCGGUCGUCCACUAGGAACUGAUCUUUUGGCAGUAAGUGGACACCACCGUCCGAAAUUCGUUGAGGGUCGAUCGGCCCAAGAUGACGUUGUAGGUCGAAGGUGUGUCCACCACGAUGAAGUUCGUGAUCCUGGUUCUCUUCAAUGGCUCUUCCCCGAGUGAGAUGGCUAGUCGGGCCUGCCCGAGCAGCAGUACCUGUUAAGUAUGAAAAAAAAAAAAACUAAUACAGCCAUACCCACCCAUGUGCACACACGCUCCCCCAUACCUCCUUUUUCCUUCCUCUUUUCUUCUCUUCCCCACCGAAGCCUCAAACCCCCCUCUCUUCUUCUUCUUUUCACUUCUCCAAGGGCAACAAGCUUCCCCUCCUUGCUGUCUUGCUUCUCGGCAACACUGUCGGAGCUCCUCGGAGUUUGCCAGAGCUCGCCAAACCACCGGAAAAAGAGGGGAAAACAAAACCCUAGUUGUCGUUCUCUUUUCUAGCCAAGCACAACAGCUACCGACGCUAGCUGUGGCCAUCGCCGGAGCUCGCCGAGACAACAGUGAAAAGGAAAAAGGUUUCCUCUCCUCUUUCUAUUCCAGCAUCCUCUCUGUUUUCAGCCUUCCGCAACUAACAUUGUUGUCCUUCUUCUCCUCCAACAGCCAAGAGCAACAACCCUGUUGCUCUCUCCUUUUCUCCCACCAACAGCAGCAUCUUGCUGCCUUUUGUCUUCUCCAACCAGCAGCCUUAGCUGCUGUCCUUUCCUUCGCAGCACCACCAGAGUUUGCCGGAGUUCACCGGAGCUUGCUAAAAUGGCCAGCGACCAAGAGAAAACAAAACCCUAGUUGCUGCCCUCUUUUUCUAGCAACCACAGUACCCAUAGAAGAUACGAGCUCGAGUGGAGCACGGUGACCUGCCGACACUCGAAGAUUUUUGCUGUACAUAAGUUUUUCAGGCACAGGGACGCUUUUGAUAUUGUAGUUGAUUUUGGACUUCCAUAGAGUUGUUCAAAGAUCUCGACGUGCUGAUUUUCUAGUUUGUCUUACUUUUGUUUUGUUGUAUUUACAUUCUGAAAUUUUAUUCCAGAUGUCAUUGAUCUGUAUAGUCUUGUAGUCUACGAAAA